rnacentral:rRNA from 1 species
UGAUACAGAGGGUGCUAGCGUUAUUCGGAUUUACUGGGCGUAAAGCGUGUGCAGGCUGUUUAGCGAGUCUGGUGUGAAAGCCUCCGUUUCAAGCGGAGAAGUGCACCAGAUACUACUAGACUCGAGUGCGGGAGAGAGGAGCGGAAUUCCAGGUGUAGAGGUGAAAUUCGUAGAUAUCUGGAGGAACAACGGAGGCGAAGGCGGCUCCUUGGACCGUAACUGACGCUGAGACACGAAAGCGUGGGGAGCAAACAGGAUUAGAUACCCUGGUAGUCCACGCUGUAAACGAUGAUCAUUAGAUGUCGGGAGAACUUACCCUUCCGGUGUCGUAGCUAACGCGUUAAAUGAUCCGCCUGGGGAUUACGGCCGCAAGGUUA